AGUGCCUACGGGGGGCAGCAGUCGCGCAAACUUCGCAAUAAGCGAAAGCUUGACGGGGCUAUCCCGAGUGCCUUCCGCUGAGGAAGGCUUUUGCCCAGUGUAGAUAGCUGGGAGAAUAAGGAGAGGGCAAGUCUGGUGUCAGCCGCCGCGGUAAUACCAGCUCUCCGAGUGGUGUGGACAUUUAUUGGGCCUAAAGCAUCCGUAGCCGGCUGGGCAAGUCCCCUGUUAAAUCCAGCGAUUUAAUCGUUGGCCUGCGGGGGAUACUGCUCGGCUAGGGGGCGGGAGAGGCCGUCGGUAUUCCCGGGGUAGGGGUGAAAUCCUAUAAUCCCGGGAGGACCACCAGUGGCGAAGGCUGUCGGCUAGAACGCGCUCGACGGUGAGGGAUGAAAGCUGGGGGAGCGAACCGGAUUAGAUACCCGUGUAGUC
rnacentral:rRNA from 1 species